rnacentral:rRNA from 1 species
UACAGAGGGUGCGAGCGUUAAUCGGAAUUACUGGGCGUAAAGGGCGCGUAGGCGGUUCGUUAAGUCCUGUGUGAAAUCCCCCGGCUCAACUGGGGAACUGCACAGGAAACUAGCGGGCUUGAGUUCGGGAGAGGGAAGCGGAAUUCCGGGUGUAGCGGUGAAAUGCAUAGAUAUCCGGAGGAACACCGGUGGCGAAGGCGGCUUCCUGGACCGACACUGACGCUGAGGCGCGAAAGCUAGGGGAGCAAACGGG